AUGAUCAUCUCCAAGAAGAACCGCAAUGAGAUCUGCAAGUACCUCUUCCAAGAGGGGGUGCUGUAUGCCAAGAAAGACUACAACCUGGCGAAGCACCCGCAGAUUGACGUGCCGAACCUCCAGGUGAUCAAGCUCAUGCAGAGCUUCAAGUCUAAGGAAUACGUCAGGGAGACCUUCUCGUGGCAGCAUUACUAUUGGUACCUCACCAACGAUGGCAUCGAGUUCCUGCGCAACUUCCUCAACCUGCCAUCUGAGAUCGUGCCUGCCACGCUCAAGAAGUCUGCCAGGCCUCCUGGCCGCCCACUCGGUUCUGGCCCACCUGGUGACCGCCCAAGGGGGCCACCUCGCUUUGAGGGCGACAGGCCUAGGUAUGGUGACAGGGAUGGCUACCGUGGCGGUCCUCGUGGUGCACCUGGUGACUUUGGUGGUGAGAAAGGUGGAGCCCCUGCAGAGUUCCAGCCAUCAUUCAGGAGCUCUGGUGGUGGCGGCUUUGGCCGUGGUGGUGGUGGUGGUGGCUUUGGCCGUGGUGGCGGCGGCGGUGGCUUUGGCACUGGCCCAAUGGAGUGA
rnacentral:rRNA from 1 species